GCUUACGGCCAUACCACCCUGAGCGCGCCCGAUCUCGUCUGAUCUCGGAAGCUAAGCAGGGUCGGGCCUGGUUAGUACUUGGAUGGGAGACCGCCUGGGAAUACCAGGUGCUGCAAGUC
rnacentral:rRNA from 1 species